rnacentral:rRNA from 1 species
UACGGGGGGAGCAAGCGUUGUUCGGAUUUACUGGGCGUAAAGGGCGCGUAGGCGGUCAGCACAAGUCAGUUGUGAAAUCUCCGGGCUUAACUCGGAAAGGUCAACUGAUACUGUGCGACUAGAGUGCAGAAGGGGCAACUGGAAUUCUCGGUGUAGCGGUGAAAUGCGUAGAUAUCGAGAGGAACACCGGUGGCGAAGGCGGGUCUCUGGGCCGAAAUUGACGCUGAGGAGCGAAAGCGUGGGGAGCAAACAGG